rnacentral:tRNA from 1 species
GGGGGUAGAUGGGUGCUGGUGUGUCCUCUAGUCUUCAAAACUAGUAUACGGGGUUGGUAGCCUCGCGGGUGGGUUCGAUUCCCACAUACUCCC